UGGCUCAGGAUGAACGCUAGCGGCAGGCCUAAUACAUGCAAGUCGAGGGGCAGCAGUACUUUUCGGAGUAGCUGGCGACCGGCGCACGGGUGCGUAACGCGUAUGCAAUCUACCCACAGCACAGGAUAGCCCGUGGAAACAUGGAUUAAUACCUGAUAACACAGGGAGCUCACCUGAGCACCUUGUUAAAGUUUGGCGGCAGUGGAUGAGCAUGCGUCCCAUUAGCUAGUUGGUAAGGUAACAGCUUACCAAGGCGAUGAUGGGUAGGGGUUCUGAGAGGAUGAUCCCCCACACUGGUACUGAGAUACGGACCAGACUCCUACGGGAGGCAGCAGUAGGGAAUAUGGUCAAUGGACGCAAGUCUGAACCAGCCAUGCCGCGUGCAGGAAGACGGCCUUCUGGGUUGUAAACUGCUUUUUUCAGGGAAGAAAACACUCUUGCGAGAGGGAUUGCCGGUACCUGAGGAAUAAGCACCGGCUAACUCCGUGCCAGCAGCCGCGGUAAUACGGAGGGUGCAAGCGUUGUCCGGAUUUAUGGGUUUAAAGGGUGCGUAGGCGGCCCGUUAAGUCAGUGGUGAAAGGUAUCAGCUCAACUGAUGAAGUGCCAUUGAAACUAACGGGCUUGAGUACAGACGAGGUAGGCGGAAUUUAUGGUGUAGCG
rnacentral:rRNA from 2 species